rnacentral:rRNA from 1 species
AUUUAACGCUGGCGGCAGGCCUAACACAUGCAAGUCUAACGAGUGGCGGACGGGUGAGUAAUGUCUGGGAAACUGCCUUAUGUAGGGGGAUACCUACUGGAAACGGUAGCUAAUACCGCAUACCAUAAGAUGUGCCCCACUGGGAUUCGCUAGUUGGUGGGGUAAAGGCUCACCAAGGCGACGAUCCCUAGCUGGUCUGAGAGGAUGACCAGCCACACUGGAACUGAGACACGGGCCAGACUCCUACGGGAGGCAGCAGUGGGGAAUAUUGAACAAUGGGGGGAAGCCUGAGGCAGCCAUGCCGCGUGAAUGAAGAAGGCCUUCGGGGUGUAAAGUACUUUCAGCAGGGAGGCGUUAACCGCAGAAGAAGCACCGGCUAACUCCGUGCCAGCAGCCGCGGUAAUAC